GAUGAACGCUGGCGGCGUGCCUAACACAUGCAAGUCGAGCGAGAAGCUUAUGUGAUGAAACUUCGGUAGAUUCUUUUAAGUGGAAAGCGGCGGACGGGUGAGUAACGCGUAGGCAACCUGCCCUUAGCAGGGGGAUAGCCAUUGGAAACGAUGAUUAAAACCCCAUAACGCAGCCAUAUCACAUGAUGAGGCUGCCAAAGAUUUAUCGGCUAAGGAUGGGCCUGCGUCUGAUUAGCUAGUUGGUGAGGUAACGGCUCACCAAGGCAACGAUCAGUAGCCGACCUGAGAGGGUGAUCGGCCACAUUGGAACUGAGACACGGUCCAAACUCC
rnacentral:rRNA from 1 species